rnacentral:pre_miRNA from 1 species
CAGAAUGUUAACAGUUUGGCAGUGCAUGUUAGCUGGCUGUUGUCGCUAUGUAUGUACAGCUGCUAGCAGCACUCCACAUUGUUUCAUUCAAA